GACGAACGCUGGCGGCGUGCUUAACACAUGCAAGUCGAACGGAAAGGCCCUGCUUUUGUGGGGUGCUCGAGUGGCGAACGGGUGAGUAACACGUGAGUAACCUGCCCUUGACUUUGGGAUAACUUCAGGAAACUGGGGCUAAUACCGGAUAGGAGCUCCUGCUGCAGGGUGGGGGUUGGAAAGUUUCGGCGGUUGGGGAUGGACUCGCGGCUUAUCAGCUUGUUGGUGGGGUAGUGGCUUACCAAGGCUUUGACGGGUAGCCGGCCUGAGAGGGUGACCGGCCACAUGGGGACUGAGAUACGGCCCAGACUCCUACGGGAGGCAGCAGUGGGGAAUAUUGCACAAUGGGCGGAAGCCUGAUGCAGCAACGCCGCGUGUGGGAUGACGGCCUUCGGGUUGUAAACCGCUUUCGCCUGUGACGAAGCGUGAGUGACGGUAAUGGGUAAAGAAGCACCGGCUAACUACGUG
rnacentral:rRNA from 1 species